GACGAACGCUGGCGGCGUGCCUAAUACAUGCAAGUCGAGCGAAUUGUCGAUGAGCUUGGCCCUCUGCCCUUAGCGGAGGACGGUUGAGUAACGCGUGGUAAACCUACCGUAAACUGCGGGAUAACGUCGGGAAACCGGAGCUAAUACCUGCUAAUAUAUCGUACCUCAUUUUACUGUAGGGAAAGUGGGUGUUAGGGGCAUUUGUGUCUGGAUUCGGUGGACAUGAGCUAGUUGGGAAGGUAAGGGCUUACCAAGGCAACCAAGCGUAGCCGACCUAAGAGGGUGAUGGGCCAACUUGGAACUGAGACCGGCCCCAGACUCCUCCGGGAGGCGGCAGAAGGGAAUCUUGCGCAAGGGGGGAAAGCCGGACGGAGCAACGCCGGGGGAGUGAUGAAGGUCUCCGGAUCGUAAAACUCUGUUUUUAGGGAAGAACAAAUGUGUAAGUAACUAUGCACGUCUUGACGGUACCUAAUCAGAAAGCCACGGCUAACUACGUG
rnacentral:rRNA from 1 species